CUAAGACAGAGCCCUCAACAUCUGCUUCCUCUGGCUGCGGCAGCGACAGCGGCGACGGCAACAGCUCUGAAAGUCUGGAAGAGAAAGAUAUUCAAAUGGAGCUUCAAGGAUCUGAACUGUGGAAGAGAUUCCAUGACAUCGGGACUGAGAUGAUCAUUACUAAAGCGGGCAGGUUCGGUUCUGCCCAAGCUGUUCACAAGGGUCACACACAUUAGGCACUUAAUUUACCGCUCUGGCGGAUGUUCCCCUCUGUUCGGGUCAAGGUGAAAGGGUUGGAUCCAGGGAAGCAGUACCAUGUGGCCAUCGAUGUGGUGCCGGUGGAUUCCAAACGCUAUAGGUACGUGUAUCACAGCUCACAGUGGAUGGUAGCCGGGAAUACAGACCAUUUGUGCAUCAUUCCUAGAUUCUAUGUUCACCCGGACUCACCCUGCUCGGGAGAGACCUGGAUGCGGCAGAUCAUCAGCUUUGAUCGCAUGAAACUCACCAACAAUGAGAUGGAUGACAAAGGCCACAUCAUUCUGCAAUCCAUGCAUAAGUACAAACCCCGAGUGCACGUGAUAGAGCAAGGCAGCAGUGUUGACCUGUCCCAGAUUCAGUCCUUGCCCACUGAAGGUGUUAAAACAUUCUCCUUUAAAGAAACUGAGUUCACCACAGUAACGGCUUACCAAAACCAACAGAUUACGAAACUAAAAAUAGAAAGAAAUCCUUUUGCUAAAGGAUUUAGAGAUACUGGAAGAAACAGGGGUGCAUUGGAUGGGCUUUUAGAGACCUACCCGUGGAGGCCUUCUUUCACUCUCGAUUUUAAAACCUUUGGCGCAGACACACAAAGUGGAAGCAGUGGCUCAUCUCCAGUGACCUCUAGUGGAGGGGCCCCCUCUCCUUUGAACUCCUUACUUUCUCCACUUUGCUUUUCACCUAUGUUUCAUUCACCUACAAGCUCCCUUGGAAUGCCCUGUCCAGAGGCAUACCUGCCCAAUGUCAACCUGCCUCUAUGCUACAAGAUUUGUCCAACUAAUUUUUGGCAACAGCAACCUCUUGUUUUACCGGCUCCUGAAAGACUAGCAAGCAGCAACAGUUCUCAGUCUUUAGCCCCACUCAUGAUGGAAGUGCCUAUGUUAUCUUCCCUGGGGGUCACCAAUUCAAAAAGUGGUUCAUCUGAAGACUCCAGUGAUCAGUAUCUACAAGCACCUAAUUCUACCAGUCAAAUGUUAUAUGGAUUACAGUCACCUGGAAAUAUUUUUCUGCCAAACUCCAUCACCCCAGAAGCACUUAGUUGCUCCUUUCAUCCUUCCUAUGACUUUUACAGAUACAAUUUCUCUAUGCCAUCUAGACUGAUAAGUGGUUCCAACCAUCUUAAAGUGAAUGACGACAGUCAAGUUUCUUUUGGAGAAGGCAAAUGUAAUCAUGUUCAUUGGUAUCCAGCAAUUAACCAUUACCUUUAGUAAGACAAUAGCAUUUCUAGAACAAUUACAUGUAAACAAAUAUUUUCUUUAUUUGUAGCCAAAGAAAUUUCAACAGUUAUUGGGCUUAAAAAGCAUCAUUACAAUACAGUAUUUCUUUGUUAUACAGUUAAAGAUUUAAAGUGCCUUAUCAAAUAAUAUUCAUGAAGAGUUGUUUAUAAUGUCAAAUGAAACCUAUAGGAAUCUCUGAUUACAGUGGCCUUGAGCUUCAAAAUGAGAUAUGCAAUAAAUAUUAUUUGAUGAUACUCCACCAGUGAAAAUUGAUGCUAAGUGAUGGGAUUUUCAAUUAUAGUGAAGCUAGUUCACCACGUUAACUGCAUUUUACACAUUGACAAUGACAAAAAGAAGAUGGAUGCAAUUCUCAUGAAAGCAGUGAAGCAAUUUCAGUUUUAAAAAUGAAGAUUGGCUUUCAUGUAAUUAUCUAGUAGUUGUAGAAGAAAAUUUAAUUAUUUGUUUGCCUCAUGCCUUUAUACUCUGCUGUUGAAGAAACUACUAAUCUCAAUUUAAGAUACAAAUAAGGACACAAACUUUCAAGUAUUAUAUUUUAGUUAUCUUUGUAGCCUAAAGACCAUUUAAUCUUUAAGGAACACAAAGAUCAAACGAAAAUUAAAACACUCUAAAUAAAUUUGCUUUUAUUUUC
rnacentral:sRNA from 1 species